GCCACUCAUACAAGCGGGAAAAGUAAAUUGAUAAAAAAUGCCAAUAAGGGUUCCCAAAUCGUGAGUCUGAAGUAAGCUCAACCCAAUUCAUUUCGCUCUCUACAAACGAAACCAACGAGGCUAGGGUUCCCAAAUUUGGAGGAAACAAGCGAUAGUGGCGACCAUGAUUCUGACUCAACCUAUUGACAUCAAGCCGUUGCGGUGGCCGUUAGCCGGUACAGUGGAAUGGUGCAAUGGCCUUACUUUCUACAAUGCUUGCUCACGAUUUCUUCAGAACCGCAAUUCAUGCACCUUAUAAUUUGCCAUUAUAUCAUUUGUUUGUAGAAGAAGAAGCUAUUUUCUAUUCUAAAGAAGAAUGCAGUCUUUGAACUUGUCUGCCUUCCAUGGGUCAAUUGGGAACAGGCGGAAUCUUCUUGUUUGGGUCUUGAAUGCAUAUCUCCAAAUCUUCCAUAUGACUCUGAAAAGUUUCAGUAGAUGAAGGCUUCUGGAUGAUGAGGGACUGCAAGUCUGAAUCCACCUUCUUAAAUUCAUUUGUCUCUGAUUCUAGAGAGUCACAAACUGCUCUUUUAGAAUGCAUCAACUUAGAAAUUGCUGACCAUCUGCUGUACUUUGCGCAUCCUUUUGGAUCAUAUAUAAAUAGCAACAGAUGUUCUAGUGAGCACAGGGUAACUGAUUCUGCUUCUUUCAAUAUUCCAAACACGGUCGAAGAGUUAUUGUUUUUGUUGCUUGAGGAAGAAGCCUUUAACUCAUUCUUCAUUGCUUUCAAUUUUAACAUCGCCUUUCGAAUUUGCUUCUUUAUGUUCUUCCUCAAAGCCAUGUAUUUUACACCAUCAACUUUAAAUCUAGUAUCAUGGCCACUUCUUCUGAUGACUGACUGUAAUUCAUGAAUGUUUUCCUUUGAUAACAAAAGGCAAUCAUUAACUAUACUGCAGAUAUCCAGGAUCCUAAGUGAUCCUUCUAGUAGGUCAUCAACACAUUUUUCAUUGCACUCCUGUGCUAAGGCUAGUUGUUCAUAGUGCAAUUGAAGUAACUUAUCAAUGCAGUCAUGCAAAUCUUGCGUGCCAUUAAGUUUGUUGCAUACCGAAGACGAUGACACUGUGGAGGUACUUUCAAAACUCUUUAACUUGUGCAAAUUGUCCUCAAAUUGUGAUACAAGAGGGUGAGGUGUGGAGGGUAAGCUGUUGCUUCGAAGAUGUAGAGAGCUCUUUAUGUUUGUUUCAAAAAUUGCCAUAUUUACUUUGCAGAGAAGCUUAGAAGGUUAUAAGGUUAGAAAGGUGAGUUUGUUUCAAAAUUUGAGUUUUUCUUGGCUUUUUUGCUUCAUAUAUAUAGCAAACUAAGCAGCAAAUUAAAGGAGACAAGAAGAAUAUUUAUGUUCCUCAAAUGUCACCUAAUUUUUAUUCGGGUCUUAGCAACCUCACCACUUGUUUCUCUGCAUUAAGCUUCCAACUCAUCCCUAAAUAUAUUAAUUGGGAAUCACAUGGACUCUUUCAAAAUGGCAUCUUCACAAUAUAAUAGUUUUAGUCUAUGAAAUUGUCUGCCUGCAACAGAACACAUUGAAGGCAAGGGAAGUCUCGAUCUUCCGCUACUUCUUGGUGGCAAUGUUUGUGCAGUGUCCCCAGCUAGAGACUUAUUAAUUUAUGUUACCAUUUUGUUUGCUGCUAUCACCUGUCUCAUUAACAUAUGAAAAUCUAAUUUAUGUUACCUUUAUAAGAUUAUUAUUAUUUUUCAAAUGGACUUGAUCAAAAGGGUGUAUGCGUAGUUGGAACACGGGUAAAUAUGGAAGGGAACAAAAGUAUAGUUUAACCAAUCUUUCUAUUUUUUUUUUAUAUUAAUCAAUUGAGUUACAGCGAGAGGCAAUGGAUACUGAUUUAUUUCUUCUAUAUAUGCAUGUAAUGUGCCAAUAAAAUGCUGUUUCAAAUGUGGAAUUGCAUAAAAAUGUAGAGAUGGAUUGAACCCUGCUUGGGUGUAUUCUAUGUGGCUGGUUGUGUGCUGUAUUUCUAUGGUUGCUACUACUGUUUUUGGUUGGGCUUGAUGUGCUUGGGUCAGUAAUUUUAAUUCAAUUUUAGUUUUUUCUGAAAAAGAAGAAGAGAUGAACCAAAAAUAUAGUGAUUAUGAGUCCAGUAAAUAUAUUAACAGUCUCUGAUCAAGAUAUAGUAAAAGCUUUAUCAUUUUAUUAAUUCCGUUUGAGUUCUGAUGCUGUUUCAUGGCAAUUCAUUUAUUGUCGCACGGAAUAUAGAUCUACUUGAUGCAUGAUGCUAUUGUGAAUUGAUUCCACCACUUGUAUCUGUCCUUUCCUGUAAUUUGCAUGUAUACUUUUAUGUGUUACUUUUACUAAUGACAAU